rnacentral:piRNA from 1 species
UCCGAAUGUAAGGACUGCCAUUUCCCCC